rnacentral:rRNA from 1 species
GGCCAAAUGGCGGGGGUGCUAACACAUGCAAGUCGAACGCUGAAGCACUUUCGGGUGUGGAUGAGUGGCGAACGGGUGAGUAACACGUGGGUAAUCUGCCCUGCACUCUGGGAUAAGCCUUGGAAACGGGGUCUAAUACCGGAUAUGACACAUGGAGGCAUGUUCGUGUGUGGAAAGUUCUGGCGGUGCAGGAUGAGCCCGCGGCCUAUCAGCUUGUUGGUGGGGUAGUGGCCUACCAAGGCGACGACGGGUAGCCGGCCUGAGAGGGUGACCGGCCACACUGGGACUGAGACACGGCCCAGACUCCUACGGGAGGCAGCAGUGGGGAAUCUUGCGCAAUGGGCGAAAGCCUGACGCAGCAACGCCGCGUGGGGGAUGACGGCCUUCGGGUUGUAAACCUCUUUCGACAUCGACGAAGCCUUCGGGUGACGGUAGGUGUAGAAGAAGCACCGGCUAACUACGUGCCAGCAGCCGCGGUAAUACGUAGGGUGCGAGCGUUGUCCGGAUUUAUUGGGCGUAAAGAGCUCGUAGGCGGUUUGUCGCGUCUAUCGUGAAAACCGGGAGCUUAACUCCUGGCUUGCGGUGGAUACGGGCAGACUUGAGUUCGGUAGGGGAGACUGGAAUUCCUGGUGUAGCGGUGAAAUGCGCAGAUAUCAGGAGGAACACCGGUGGCGAAGGCGGGUCUCUGGGCCGAUACUGACGCUGAGGAGCGAAAGCGUGGGGAGCGAACAGGAUUAGAUACCCUGGUUAGUCCACGCCGGUAAACGUUUGGGCGCUAGGUGUGGGGAUGGGUUCCACUGUUUC